UAUCUCCUUGGGGACCUUGAGUCAGAGCUAGAGUGGCCCAAGGACCUGGGUUUCUCCUCCUCUUCUUGCACGGCUGCCUCUCUGGGGCUCUCAUCCAGCUAAGUCCGCGGGCUUCGUGAAGGGCCUUCAGGGCUCAGGAGCCAGGCCCUGAGAGAGUCAAAGCCACUGUGGCAGUAGAAGGAGCCCACCGGGACCCAGGGAGCUGGGGUGGAUGGGCCCUGCUCACCUCCGGGGGUCUCAGGCAUUCACUCUGCCAUUGAGUUCCCCGGGGUAGCUGCUGCUGCUGCUGCUGCUGCUGCUGCUGCUGCUGCUGCCUGCUGUUCCUGUUCCUCCUGCUCCUCCUCCUGCUCCUGCUGCUGCUGCUGCUGCUGCUGGGAGGUGGGGCAGGGGCAGGCAUGUUCUGGACUGUGUGUGUUAGUGGUUUGGAGUCCAUGGGACAGGUGCAGAUGCCAGUGGCUCCCUCCAUCCCCACAGACAAGAUGACCUUGGUGAGGGCCAUGUGUUCAGGAGACCCAUCUAGGGAGCGCCCCCUGGGAGUGGGUCUGUACUCUAGCCUCAAGCCACACCCCGACCCCCACUCUUUGGUCGGUUCGUUCCUUCACGUGUGCCCGUGCCGGCGUGUGGGUGCCCGUGCCGUGCAUCGCAUGUGGAGCUUACGUCGAUCUGGGUGUUAUUGAACGUGUACCCGUUAUUUAACAUACAGGGGGCGAGUGUCCUUUCUCUGGUAGUUUUCCCCCGUCACCGCCUUGGAGGUGCCACCGUGGAGAGCCCUUCCUCCCGGCCAAAGCCCAAGAAGCCCUCACCGUGCCGCAAGACGGCAGCUCCCAAGGUGUCCCGCUGCCUUCCAAACCCCCGUCUGCAGCGGGCACCCUGCGUGGUGGUUGUGCGCGAAUGCUUCCGGGGUUGAAUGCGGGUGGCAGCAGGCAAGAAGACCCAGAGGCCCGUGUCCAUUUGGGCUGCGCCCCGCACAGGCUCAGGGAGUGGUAGAGGCGCUUGUGCAUGUGGCUGCUCUCACAGCGUCACAGGUUCCCCCGGCCUCGGCGCGUCUGUGCAGAGGGGACGCCCCGUCCUGCUGGGUCUCGGUCCUGUCCAUUUCUUUCCUGACAGCUCCUCAGGGUAGGGUGCCCUGGUCUGUGCCUGAGAGCAGGAGCGUAGGGUAUGUCGGCUGUCCCCUUCUCUUUGGACGCUGGGCUUCUCGCCUGUCCUUUCCUCUUCCUCUUGCGUCUUUGACGGAGCUGGCUAUGAGGGGGCGCGGGGCACGGGGUCCUGGUUGCCAGUGUGCGAGUGUGCGUGGCCCGUUGUGUCGGGCGUCAGCGUUUGCCCAGAGGAAAGCAGUAGGCUCGAUGUUACCUCGGCCGCGUCCCAGGGCAGCUGCCCUCACCCCCGGAGAGUCAGUGCGGUGGAUCUGUGUGCGGCCCGAGAGGAGACAAGUCGGUGCCCGUUUACCCGCGGGUCAUGAGAGCUGCUGGGUGUCAGGCAGAGUGGAAGGAGAGGAGGAGAAGGGAAGUCGGGGACGUCGGUCAUGUCUAGGCGCUGGUGUUCUGGGUGAGUGAGUGCCCUUUGUUCUCUUCCUUCUCCUCUUCCAAAGGGUUCAUUUCAUCACAGGGAAAAGGUCAGUGGUUCUGGUGGUUCAGCAAGCCUCAAGAAGGGGAGACUCC
rnacentral:lncRNA from 1 species